AUUUAUAUAAGGUUUUCUCGUAAACUCCAUUACAUAAAUAUAGUAUUAUAGAUAUUACAGACAGAAAGCAUCACAUGGUAGUCAAUCUAAACUUUCUGUAAUAGCCAGUCAAGUUUCCACUUCAGAUGUAUUUGGGAUGUUUAUAACAUUGUUAUUUUAUGUACCUAGAAUUCUGAUAUUUUAUGUGGAUUCUUAAUCCAGACUCAGUUUUAAUGUCCUCAAGUACAUUACAGUUUCUACAUUUUAAAAGUUUAAAUGUGUACAAAAAAUAUAAUUUUCUGUCUUUAAAAAAAAAAAAAAAAAAAAAAAAGUGACAGGCAUUUUUCCAAAACAACUAUUCCCUGGCUUCCUUUUGGACACAGGGAGCUCAUUAAUUAUGCUUUUAAUGAUAAUUUUCUUGAUUUAGAGGGAAAAACAUCUUAGAACAGUAGGUGCUGUGUGGAGAGCACAUUUAUACUGCUCAAAAAGGUAGUUAACCCUUUUCUCUAAGGCUCAUUCAAAAUGCCUAUUUUAGCUUGAUCUUAAUGCCAGCCACAAGCAAACUAUGAGUUACUGUUGCUUUUUCUUGCCUAUGAUCUCAAGGAACUGAGUCAACUGCUUGUGAUUACCAGCACAUGGGAACAUCUUGUACAUGGAAACAUCUUACAGCCAGGCCAGACAGAGCAAAACGUAUCCAGUUUUAUGAGGCUCUCACCUGAAAUGCUACAACCAUGGAAUGUCACCAAGAAGGAAGCAGCUAGUGCUGCACCUGUUUCAAAAGGCUGCAGUAUGGAAAGUUCCUCCACUCGAUAAAGAUGCAACACAUUAUGAACUUGCAAGAGAAAGAGAGCUGUCUACCUGUAUUUCAGAUGGAAUCACCCAGCAUGGGAGGAGUACAACAAAUAAUGUGUCUGUUUGCAUGUUACACUGGAGUAUGUUAAGGGUUGCAGGAGUAUGAAGAAUAGGAUCAACAAAAUGCAGAAACCAGAUCUGAUGUUGCAGGAAAUGGAGCCAGAGUUGAAGAAAAUCAAAGUCAAAUAUGACUAAAACUGAGGGAUGGAAAGGAGUGCAAAGACAGAAAAACACUGGAGUAACAUAGCAUCUCUGCAGGUCACACUACCUGAUCAAAAAGACUGAAUAAGAGCACAGAAUGAUUGGUUCAAGAGAUAUUUCAGACCUCACAGUCCUGCUAACAAGUAAUACCAGGAAUCAAACUCCUAAGGUCUUCAUUCACUUUUUUCUCAGAAUGAAAAUUUUGUGCUAAAAUAGUCCAAUUGUGAUGAAAUCCCAUUGGAAAUCUGCCACCAGACAAGCUUUGAAACUUUUCUUGGUGUUCUGCCAGCUUAUUUCUGCGGUUACUCAAUAAAGCACCUGCUGGGUGCCAUAACCACCAGUUCUUGGUAUUCCAGGAGCAGCAGGACUGGCAGACAGGUGGAUGUUCCUAGCGCCAAAAACCCCAUACUAUUUCCAAGCAAAACCCAAAUUUCUGGGUUUUGAUCUAAGCCAGAGUGAGAACAGUUUUCUAAACAUCAAAAUAUGCCACAAAGAGGACUGAUCAUUUUUCCCCCCUUCCAGCUCUACUUCAAUGUAUUCAAGAAAUUGAAGAAUGAAUGAGUUUGGCAGCAGAAUUUUUUCUGUUCAUUGAAGACUUAAGAAGACAUGAACAGUUGUGUGUUCUGGUUUGGAGGAGUUGUAUUAAUAUGCAAUUCUUUGUGAUCAUUUGGACAUUUUUUUUAAAAUAAAACUUACUUUUAU